UACGUAGGAUCCAAGCGUUGUCCGGAUUUACUGGGUGUAAAGGGUGCGCAGGCGGACUGGUGAGUCUGGGGUGAAAUCUCCCUGCCUAACAGCGAAACUGCCUUAGAUACUAUCAGUCUUGAAUCAGCGAGAGGUUCGUGGAAUUCCGAGUGUAGCAGUGAAAUGCGUAGAUAUUCGGAAGAACACCAGUGGCGAAGGCAGCGAACUGGCGCUCGAUUGACGCUCAGGCACGAAAGCAUGGGGAUCAAACAGG
rnacentral:rRNA from 1 species